rnacentral:lncRNA from 1 species
UCUUCAUUCUUGAUGUGAUUUUGAAAACGUGUGAGCUGAGUUUGGUGCGAAGGUGAGAAACAUAAGUUUGACGAAGAAUUUGUUCGGUGUGAAAUCUAAUUGAAGCGGUGUGGUGUUGGAGGAAUCACGAACAGAGGUGUUAUAUUCUAAAGUUUUAGGAUUUAAUUAGUAGUUUUUAUUAUUUAUCAUUUAUCUUUAGUUGGGAUUUAAUUAGUUAGGAUUUAAAUCUUUAGUUUCGAUUUAAUUAGUUAGGAUUUAAUUAGUACUUUUAUCAUUUAUCAUUUAUCUUUAGUUGGGAUUUAAUUAGUUAGGAUUUUAUCAUUUAUCUUUCUAGCAUUUAUCUUUAUCAUUUGUAAUCUUUAGUACUCUAUAAAUAGAGUAUUGAACUAUCAUUUGAGAUAUCAAUAAUAUAUGCACUUUGUUUCCGUUUCUCAAUUCUCUAUCAUUGUUCUUGUUCUUGGUAUAAUCGGAAGUCACCUAAAGGUUCCCUUUGUCCAAAGCCUAAUCGUUCUUUGAAAUCUCUUACGAGAGGACUUAGACGCUUCUACACACGAUCGUUCAUAUCAAUUGGUAUCAGCUAGGACCUUCCAGUACUUCAAUGGCAGAAUCAACACGCUCCGCUCAAGCUACUAAGGAGAUGGAAGAUCGAAUCUCCCAAAGGAUGGAUAAUCGGUUUAUGGAACUCGCGACUACGUUGAAGGAAACUUUGACUCUUUCUAUGAAAGACACCAUCCAGGAUUUACUUACUCAAUCUCAAGGUGAACGCUCCCCUCGGCCCUCACCUGAGACAAUGUCGCGCGGACCUCGAACGGGGUCUUCUUAUGUUUGUGGCACGCGGUUGGCACGGAUCGACUUUCCCCGAUUCAAUGGCAAAAAUGUUAAUCAGUGGAUUUAUCAAUGCGAAAAUUAUUUUCUCAUUGACAAGACUCCAGAGGAAUUCAAGGUACAGCUGGCACUUGUGCAUCUAGAAGGCAAGGCCUUGCAAUGGCAUACCGCACUUAAGAACUCUGAUUUAGAUAUGGAUGCACCUUCAUGGCCUGGAUUCACCAAAAGUCUAAAAGAUCGGUUUGGUGCAAUUGGCGAUGAUCCCAUGGUUGCGUUAAUGCGUCUGCGACAAAAGACGUCCGUUGAUGCCUAUCAUGAAGAGUUUGAUUCCAUCAUUACAAGAUUAAAGUUAGCUAAUGAUCAUGUUCUCAGUUGCUUCCUUGGUGGCUUAAAGCAAGACAUCCAAAUGAUGGUACGCAUGUUCCAACCUACAACAUGCAUUUACUUUGGCCAGGACGUAUGAAGCAGCCAAUUCUAGCAAGUCGACGACCAAAUUCCACAGGGGAGUCUUAGGUCCAGCUCCAGUGCCUCUAUCAUCGUCAUCUCCAAUCACUGCGGUUCCCAAACCUAAACCCACACACCACCUAACGCCGGAAUUCAUAGCAGAAUGCAGAGCCCAAGGCCUUUGUUAUUUUUGUGAUGAACCCUACUCAAUGGAGCACAGUAGAGUACACAAGAAAUUACAGCUUCACGUCAUGGAGAUGGAGGAAGAAGAUGACACACAGGAUAGUCCUCCCAGUGACGAUACUGACUUAUUGCAAUGGAAGGAACCACAAAUCUCAGUCAACGCAUUAACAGGAGUGGCUGGGUUCAAGACUAUGAGAAUCACUAGAUAUCAUCAAAAACAACCUUUACAUAUUCUCAUUGAUAGUGGCAGCACUCAUAAUUUCUUAGAUACCCAAAUGGCUCAAAAAUAUGGGUGUGUAAUUGAGACAAUUGCCCCUUUGAAUGUCGUGGUAGCAGAUGGGUCAAAGAUCAAGAUAUCUUCCGUGGUCAAAAAAUUUAGUUGGACAAUUCAACACACAACUUUUACUGCUGAUAUGCUACUCCUUUCUUUGGGGUGUUGCGAUUUAGUGCUGGGAAUUGAGUGGCUCAUAACAUUGGCCGAUAUUUUAUGGAAUUUCGACAAACUCACUAUGGAAUUCAAGGUACAAGGAAGGCGACAUGUUCUACGUGGCUCUAUGGCCCCCAAGCUUAAACCUGCACACAAGCAACAGUUGAGCAAAGCUUUUAUUGACGGUGUACAUUUGUCUAUGAUACACGUGGGUGCAGAGGAGGACAUGUUGUUGCAGUCCUUGACUACACAUGCUGCAGAACAGGAGAUUCCAACUGAGAUCGCGAAUCUCUUACAAGAAUUUGCAGAUAUCUUUCAAGAACCACAACAAUUACCACUCUUUCGACCAGGCCAUGAUCAUCAUAUUCCAUUGAUUCAGGGAGUUAAUCCAGUCAACAAACAGCCUUACAGGUAUGCCACAACCCAAAAGGACAUUAUUGACCAACUUAUACAUGAAUAUUUGCAAUCCGGAAUUAUACAGGAAAGUUGCAGCCCUUACGCCAGCCCCGUGCUUCUUGUAAGCAAAAAAGAUGGUUCAUGGAGACUUUGUGUUGAUUAUAGGGAUCUGAAUAAGGGCACAGUCAAGAACAAAUUUCCUAUUCCUUUAGUUGAUGAUCUACUGGAUGAAUUAGCAGGAUCUACUGUUUUUUCGAAAAUUGAUUUACGUGCAGCUAUAAUCAAGUUCGAAUGAAUCCCGACGAUGUGUGGAAGACAGCUUUUCGAACACACUCGGGACAUUAUGAGUACCUGGUGAUGCCAUUUGGACUCACCAACGCUCCGGCUACAUUCCAAGGAUUAAUGAACUCCAUUUUUCAGAGGUUUUUAAGGAAAUUUUUGUUGGUGUUUUUUGAUGAUAUUCUAGUCUACAACAAAAACAUAACGGAGCACAUACAACAUCUCAAAGAAGUAUUGCAGACUCUCCGUAUCCAUUCUCUUUUUGCCAAGAGAUCUAAAUGCUAUUUUGCUGUUUCCGAAGUGGAGUACUUAGGCCAUAUUAUUAAUGCACAUGGCGUUUCCGCGGACUCCAACAAAGUUGCUGCUAUGGUAAGCUGGCCUCUACCACGAACCCUAAAACAAUUACGAGGGUUUUUGGGCUUAGCUGGGUAUUAUAGAAGAUUUGUCCGCGGCUAUGGCAUCAUUGCUAAACCCUUAACUGAUAUGCUUAAGAAGGACAAUUUCCUUUGGUGUGAGAGGGCUGAACAAGCUUUUCACGACCUUAAGAAGAUGAUGAGCAGUACUCUCGUUUUAGCACUACCUGAUUUCACAAAAGUCUUUGUUGUGGAGGUAGAUGCUUCUGGGCAAGGCGUGGGAGCAGUUUUGAUGCAAGACCACCAUCCCAUAGCUUUUAUUAGUAGAAUUUUUAAUCUUCAACAAGAAGCUUAUUCAACAUACGAAAAGGAAUUGGUGGGAGUAGUCUUUGUUGUGCAAAAAUGGUGACAUUACCUGUUGAAUCGUCAUUUUACUAUCAAGACGGAUCAUUACAGCCUUAAAUACAUCUUAAAUCAAAGAUGGUCCACUGAGUUUCAACAAAAAUGGCUAGUCCAGCUGAUGGAAUUUGAUUUCACCAUAGAAUAUCGCCAAGGAAAAGAAAAUGUUGUCGCUGAUGCAUUAUCUAGAAGGGACAUAGUGGAAUGCAAAGGUUUAAUUACCUUACAACUACAGUCUGAGUUACUACAGGAUAUACAACAAUCAUGGAUUACAGAUAUUCACUUACAGAAACUCAUAACAGAGUUAAAGGCGAAUACAAGUUCCCAUAAACAUUAUACAUGGGAAAACAAUGAACUUAGAAGAAAAGGCAGGCUGGUUGUAGGGAUAGAUGGGUUAUUGAGAAAGAAGAUUUUGCAGUGGCUACAUGCCUCAGCAGAGGGCGGUCAUUCGGGUAUGAAUGCAACAGUGAAAAGGGUCAAGGCAGUGGUUUAUUGGAAAGGAUUAAAUAAAGAUAUCAAACAUUUUAUCCAACGGUGUUCUGUGUGUCAGCAAAAUAAAUAUGACAGCGCUGCUACUCCAGGCCUUCUACAACCUCUACCCAUUCCACAGACCAUUUGGCUGCACAUCACCAUGGAUUUCAUUGAAGGGUUACCACAUUCAGAAGGUAAACAAGUCAUUUUUGUGGUAGUAGACAGGUUGAGCAAAGCUGCCCAUUUUAUGGCCCUAACUCACCCAUAUACGGCAAGAAGUGUUGCUCAAGCAUUUUUGGACAAUGUGUUCAAGUUACAUGGAUGUCCAGAAACCAUUACCAGUGAUAGAGAUCCGAUUUUUGUGAGCCAAUUUUGGAAAGAGUUUAUGGCAGUACAAGGAGUGCAAGUUCAACUGUCCACAAGUUAUCAUCCCCAAACAGAUGGCCAGACAGAGGUGGUGAAUAGAUGCUUAGAAACUUAUUUGAGAUGUAUGUGUGUUGACUCACCACACAAAUGGGUGCAAUGGCUUCCUCUUGCAGAAUGGUGGUAUAAUACCACAUUCCAUACAACCAUCAAAGCCACCCCUUAUGAAAUUGUGUAUGGUCAACCACCUCCUAUCCAUUUACCAUACUUAUCGGGGAAUCCAGCAUUGAAUUGGUAGAUAAAAGCCUUCUCAAGAGAGAAUAAAUGUUGAAAGUGAUAAAAUUUCAUUUAAAACGAGCACAAGAGAGAAUGAAGCAACUAGCAGAUAGACACAGAUCCGAGAGGGGUUUUGAGAUUGGUGACUUAGUUUACGUUAAGUUGCAAGCUUACAGGCAGGUAUCCGUAAACUUCAAACCAAAUGCUAAGUUGAGCCCAAAGUAUUUUGGGCCCUACAAAGUUUUGGAUAAGGUGGGGGAGGUAGCUUAUAAGCUAGAACUUCCAGUGCAUUCUAAGAUUCACAAUGUCUUCCAUGUAUCACAACUAAGGAAACAUGUGGGAGACAUGGUGGUUUCCACUACGCUACCUUAUCAAUCUGAAGACCCACUACAACUGAAAGAGCCUGAAGCUGUCAUUGACCGCAUGACAGUUAAGCGAAGAGGAAGGGCAGUCACAAAGGUUUUAGUGAAAUGGAAGCACCAACUUCCUGAGGAUGCAACUUGGGAGUUCUACUUUGAUUUGAAGAAGUACCCAUUGUUCCAUUCUUGAGGGCAAGAAUGUUGUUAUGGGGAGGGCAUUGUUAUAUUAUAAAGUUUUAGGAUUUAAUUAGUAGUUUCUAUUAUUUAUCAUUUAUCUUUAGUUGGGAUUUAAUUAGUUAGGAUUUUAUCAUUUAUCUUUCUAGCAUUUAUCUUUAGUACUCUAUAAAUAGAGUAUUGAACUAUCAUUUGAGAUAUCAAUAAUAUAUGCACUUUGUCCUUGUUCUUGUUCUUGGUAUAAUCGGAAGCCACCUAAAGGUUCCCUUUGUCCAAAGUCUAAUCGUUCUUCGAAAUCUCUUACAAGAGUACCUACACGCUUCUACACACGAUCGUUCAUAUCAGGAGGUGUUUUGCGGUUUUUGGCAAACGAAAUUGGUGUAAGGAGGUUUUGCGGCUUCCGGCGAACAUAAUCAGUGGACAGAGGUUUUUUGCGGUUUCCAGUGACCUAAAUCAGCGAGGAGUUGUGUUUUCCAGCGACCUAAAUCGUUGAAACUGUGAGUUUCCGGUGCGUUUUCAUCUACAUUCUUCAUUCUCUGGAACGAUUUUUAAAUCAAGUGAUUGGAGAACACUGAAUGAGAUAUUGCGGUAAGGAGAUUUGAACCGCCGAAAUCAGAAUUUGCUUUAGAUUUGGUGCGUUGCUGGAAGAAUCAGUAACAGAGGAGUUUCAAUUUUCCGGCGAAACCGGUUAACGGAGAAGACGAUCGAUUUGAAGCGAUUUGCUGGAGAAUUUGAGAUUCAGCGAGCACGAACCAAAAAGGAAUUGUAGUGUUUCGUAUGAAUUGAUUCAUUGCAGCCAAGGUGUUUGUUCAAUAAGCAUGAAUUAGAAUUGUGUGAGCUGAAGGUGUAGCGAAGUCCAGUGGCAUUCAGUUUCUGUGAAUUGAAGAGGUGCGUUCAAUUACAUUUACGUGCAAUUUUAAUUACAAUUGUUCUGUUCUGUUAAUCUUCGAAAUAAGAGAAGUUGAGUAGUGGAGUGGUUGAUCUGAGACGGUGUAAUUUUGAUUCAGUGUAGUUUNNNNNNNNNNNNNNNNNNNNNNNNNNNNNNNNNNNNNNNNNNNNNNNNNNNNNNNNNNNNNNNNNNNNNNNNNNNNNNNNNNNNNNNNNNNNNNNNNNNNUGUUGAGUAGUUGGAAUAGGCAUUCCAUCAAACACUUGGUGUUCUAUACUGAAUUGAAGGAUUUCCUGUGGUGAUUCAAUUGGACCAACAACUAAUUCAACAUAAACAAGUUAUUGGCAAUUGAUUUAACAGUGUAGUAAUUGUUUUGAUGUAGAUUUGGGUGCAGAAGUUUUAUGGUUUGGCUAUUUUGGUACAAAAUCCUGCACAUAAUUGGUGUAUAUUGUUGAAUAGUUCGCAGCUGCACAAUUUUAAUCUUUUGAUUAGUGUAAUUUGGUGGUAUAAUUUUGUGCAUUGAAACUGUUUAUGAAUUGAUCACGAUGUUGUGAUGUAGUAUGAUGACUUGAAUUGUCUGCAUCAUUUGGUUCAUAAUUGGUGUUCACGAUGCAAUGCUUAAUUGAGUAAAAUUCCGGUGCAUAAUUGGUUGGUGUAUUGAUCCAAAGAUUUAAUUAAAAUUGCCUCAUUGAAUGCAAGAAAAGUGAGAUAGAGAAAGCAAAGUGCGUAAACUAAAUUGGUUCAAUUUUGUUGAAGCAAGAAUUUUACUGGUGCAAGUCUUGAUGCAGAAUUUUCCGGUUUAGCUUGUGAAAUUGGCAAAGUGAAGCUGUUGGUGAAUUUUGAAAUUGUAAUUGACAAGCGUAGGUCUUCAUACUAGCUGUUCUGAUUCAGAUUUGAUUGCUUGAAAUUGUUGAUCAUUUUGGUGCAGAUUUUAAUUAAAUAAAAAAAAGUAUGUCUGCAUUUGAAUUCAAUUUGUGAAUUACAAAUUGAUUGAAGCUGAUGCAGUGAAUUGUGGGGUCCGUAAAUUUGAAGAAUUUGAUGAGAAAUGGUGUGCCGAAGGUGCAGCGUGAAUCAAGUACUACCAAGGUGUGCAAUUAAUUGAAGAAAUUAAAGUAGAAUCAGUGAAAGCAAAUUGGAAAUUGUUGAAUUGGUGAAAGCGUGAUUGUGGGUGCUUUUAACUAACCAAAAAUUACUUAUGUGUUGAGUAAUUAGAAGUGUGUAUUGGCAGCUACUGGAACUUGCAAUCACACGGUGGGACCCAUGCUUUAAAGUUAAAUGCAAUUUGUUGAAUAAUGAGGGAGAGUAAAUGUUGGUGAGAAAUUUGGCAAUUGGAGUUCCUUAGCGCGGGACCCGCGAGAAUUGAGUUCUUUGAACCAAGCUACAUUGGGCAACAACAUUUUGGAUUUCAUAGUCUACUAAUAAUUUUCAUCAUUCUUUGUUUUAAUUUUGUAAUCCAUUCUAGUGUCUAUCUUUAGGUGUUUUCUUUUGAGUGCCUAUUUUUUUGAAAACCUUUAAUUUUUUUGCUUGUCUUGAUUUUAUGGAUAAUUUUUGUGUUUGUCAUCUCUAAUCUCCUUUGAGUUUCACUCUUCAAAUUGAGUUUUUAUUGCUUUUAUUAUUGACCUCUUGAAGUGGAAUAUACCUUGAAUUUGUUCUUUGUGAGAAUUGAGCUAACUUCUAGGUAGCAUCCUAAGAGAAGGCAAAGGACUUUGCAAGGGGUACUCACCUUUGGAGGACAAACAAGUAAAGGCUUAGAGAGAAACACUUGUGAGAGAAGAGAAGAAAACUUUGAAGAUUAUUUUUUUUUUUAAAUUUUGUGUGAUUUCAAUUGUUUUGUAAUUUGGCCAUUAUCAUUACUUUAGGUGUCUUGGAAGAGUCUUUGGUGUUCUUCCAUCUCCUACAAGUUUUCUUUAAUUUUCUUAUUAGAUACACGCUUUAGACGGUGAGUGUGUCUUGAAGGUUCACAAGUGCCAACAAGCCUCACCAUUAGGAGUCGUCUAGUUUAAAUUUUUGCAAUUUAAAUUCUUAGUUUUUAAAAACUUUCUUUUAGUUUCUUUCUUUAGAAUACUCUUUGUUUGUGUUGAAGAAGUUUUCAUUGGAAGGAGAUUUGUGAAGUACAUUGGGAUAAGUUCUGGCUAGGAAAGACUUGGUACUUAAGAGUGUCCAUUGUGAUCCACCUCUCUUUCCUGGGAAUUUACCUUGUGUGCUAAACUCACUUUCCUUCUUGUGAAAAAUCUUUUAAAUACAAAGCUUAAUAUGUCUAUGUAUACNNNNNNNNNNNNNNNNNNNNNNNNNNNNNNNNNNNNNNNNNNNNNNNNNNNNNNNNNNNNNNNNNNNNNNNNNNNNNNNNNNNNNNNNNNNNNNNNNNNNNNNNNNNNNNNNNACUUUGAUGGAAAUAAAAAUGUUGAAGCAUAUUUAGAAUGGGAAACAAAAUUUGAUCAAAUCUUUGAAAAAACAUCAAUUGGAUGAAUUUAGCAGAUUUUCCAUGGCUACCCUAAGUUUUCAAGAAUAUGCUAGGUCUUGGUGGACAAAAAGGGAAACUGAUGUUAUAAAUGGCAGAAAAUCUGAAGUACUUAAUUGGGAUGAAUUGAAGACGUGUAUGAGAAGAAAGUUUGUUCCACCUUCAUAUGUGAAAAAGAAAAAGCUUAGAGAAGAGAAUGAAAGAGCUUGUAGAAAAAGGAAGAAAUNNNNNNNNNNNNNNNNNNNNNNNNNNNNNNNNNNNNNNNNNNNNNNNNNNNNNNNNNNNNNNNNNNNNNNNNNNNNNNNNNNNNNNNNNNNNNNNNNNNNAGAAGAGAAAAGGAGUUUAGAGAAAAAUUCCAAACUCUUGUCAGAAAGAAGGAAGAGAAGGAGGAAAAGGAAAGUACAAAAAACUCUUUUUCUGGAGUUGAAUCAGAUAUCGAUAACAUUUUAUCUUCUCUAGAAAACCCUUGUGAGAAUAUGCUUGAAGAAAAAUCUAUGUUUGGAGCUGAACCAGAUAUAGAUAUAAAUAUUUCCUCCACACAAAAUACAGAAGAAUGUUUGAUUGAAAAGGAAGAAGAGGAAACCCACAAAGAAGAAGAACCUUUUAUGACACUCCCUCAAAGCAUGGCUGAGAAAGAAUCCUUAAAGGGGGAUUACAAUACUUUGAACUCUUCUUUUCAAUUAUAUAAUGCUCAUUCUUCUUUACAAAAAUCUCAAAAACCAAACUUUGUGAUGUUGUUGCCUAGCUUGGGCAAUAAACAACACAAAGUGAACAAAAAUAUUUUUGAAAGGGGCCUUAUGUUUUUCUUUAAAAAGAAAUUUAAAGAUAAAGGGCCUUAUUUUUGUUUAGUUUUCUUUUGUUUUAAUUUUCUUUUAAAAAAGAAUUUAUCUCAUGUUUGUUUGAUGUUGUUUAUUAUAGAUUGACAUUUGACCCAGGAGGAAAACAUCAAAUAAACAGAGGCUGCUGUCAUUGAGCAUCAUUCAGAUCUGAGGAUAGAUCCUUUUCAAGAGGGAGGGGAUGAUGGAAACCGUCUAGCCUCAAAACUUUCGGCCAAGAAGAUAGACGAAGAUCGAGUUUUAAUGAAGAGUUUGUAAAGUCUUUUUCUUCUUCUUAGCCUUGUAAAAAUUGUAUAGAGUAGUUAGGAAGUUUUGGGCCUUGUAUUUUGGGACAAAGUAGAGAAAGAUGUAAAUAGAAAACAAAGUAAUGUGUAAAAUAGUAAAAGAGGGGUACAAAUAGAAAUGUAGGCAAGGAAGGCAUAAGUCUCCACAUGUCUUCUCUUUAAUGGAGAGGAUUGGCACCAAUAAGGUGGUGACACUUGUCACACUCUCAUUUGAGAGUUUUUGAGAGACUUUAUCCUAUAAAUAGGAGUCUCUUAUACAUGUAUUUCUUUAACUUGGAAUUAGUAAUGAAAUGCUGCCUAGUUUUGG